GUGCCCAUAGCUCAACUGGAUAGAGCAACAGCCUUCUAAGUUGUAGGUUGCAGGUUCAAUUCCUGCUGGGCACACCA
rnacentral:tRNA from 1 species